rnacentral:rRNA from 1 species
GAUGAACGUUGGCGGCGUGCCUAAUACAUGCAAGUCGAACGAAGACUGUAGUAAUACUGUCUUAGUGGCGAACGGGUGAGUAACGCGUGGGUGACCUGCCCCGAAGUGUGGGGUAACAGUUCGAAAGAACUGCUAAUACCGCAUAAUAUCCAAGAGAUUAGACGCUUUUGGAUUAAAGGAGUAAUUCGCUUCGGGAGGGGCCCGCGUCCCAUCAGCUAGUUGGUAAGGUAAUGGCUUACCAAGGCGAUGACGGGUAGGGGACCUGAGAGGGUGGCCCCCCACAAUGGAACUGAAACACGGUCCAUACACCUACGGGUGGCAGCAGUAGGGAAUAUUAGUAAUGGGCGAAAGCCUGAACUAGCAACGCCGCGUGUGCGAAGAAGGCCUUCGGGUUGUAAAGCACUUUUGUAGAGGAUGAGGAAGGACGGUACUCUCAGAAUAAGUCUACGGCUAACUACGUG